rnacentral:rRNA from 1 species
GAUAAACGCUGGCGGCGCACAUAAGACAUGCAAGUUGAACGGACUUAAUCGAACUAUUUAUAUUUUGAAGCGGUUAGUGGCGGACUGGUGAGUAACGCGUAAGGAACCUGCCUAUUAGAGGGGAAUAACAGUGAGAAAUCAUUGCUAAUACCGCAUAUGCCAUAGAUAUCACAUGAUAACAGUGGGAAAGGAGCAAUCCGCUAAUAGAUGGCCUUGCGUCUGAUUAGAUAGUUGGUGGGGUAACGGCCUACCAAGUCGACGAUCAGUAGCCGGACUGAGAGGUUGAACGGCCACAUUGGGACUGAGAUACGGCCCAGACUCCUACGGGAGGCAGCAGUCGGGAAUAUUGCGCAAUGGAGGAAACUCUGACGCAGUGACGCCGCGUAUAGGAAGAAGGUUUUCGGAUUGUAAACUAUUGUCGUUAGGGAAGAGAAAGGACAGUACCUAAGGAGGAAGCUCCGGCUAACUACGUG